rnacentral:rRNA from 1 species
UACGUAGGGCGCAAGCGUUAUCCGGAAUUAUUGGGCGUAAAGAGCUCGUAGGCGGUUUGUCGCGUCUGCCGUGAAAGUCCGGGGCUCAACUCCGGAUCUGCGGUGGGUACGGGCAGACUAGAGUGAUGUAGGGGAGACUGGAAUUCCCGGUGUAGUGGUGGAAUGCGUAGAUAUCGGGAGGAACACCCGUGGCGAAGGCGGCACUCUGGGACGGUACUGACGCUGAGACGCGAAAGCGUGGGGAGCAAACAGG